rnacentral:rRNA from 1 species
GAUGAACGCUGGCGGCGUGGAUAAGGCAUGCAAGUCAAGGGGGCCCGCAAGGGCAACCGGCAAACGGGGUAGUAACAGGUGGGAACGUACCUAGAAGUCAGGAAUAACCUGUCGAAAGACAGGCUAAUACCCGAUAGUCUCUAAGGAGUAAAGCUCCGGCGCUUCUAGAACGGCCCGCCCGCUAUCAGCUAGUUGGUAAGGUAAUGGCUUACCAAGGCGUAGACGGCUAGGGGAGGUGAGAGCCUGACCCCCACCACUGGGACUGCGACACUGCCCAGACACCUACGGGUGGCUGCAGUCGAGAAUCUUCCGCAAUGCACGAAAGUGUGACGGAGCGACGCCGCGUGAUUGAUGAAGCUCUUCGGAGUGUAAAGAUCUUUUAUGAGGGAAGAAGUUUAUUGACGGUACCUCAUGAAUAAGGGGCUGCUAACCUCGUGCCAGCAGCAGCGGUAAUACGAGGGCCCCGAGCGUUAUCCGGAAUUAUUGGGCGUAAAGGGUGUGUAGGUGGUUGUAUUAGUCUUGUGUUAAAGCCUGUUGCCUAACAACAGAAUCGCACGGGAAACGGUACAACUAGGAGGGUGCAAGGGGUGUACGGAACUCAUGGUGUAGGGGUGAAAUCCGUUGAUAUCAUGGGGAACGCCAAAAGCGAAGGCAGUACACUGGUGCAUACCUGACACUGAAACACGAAAGCGUGGGUAGCGAAUGGGAUUAGAUACCCCAGUAGUCCACGCCCUAAACGAUGACAACUAGCUUUUCGGAGUAUCGACCCUCUGAGAGGCGAAGCUAACGCGUUAAGUUGUCCGCCUGGGUAGUACGACCGCAAGGUUAAAACUCAAAGGAAUAGACGGGGGCUCGCACAAGCGGUGGAUCAUGUGGUUUAAUUCGACGCUAANNNAAGAACCUCACCGAGGCUAGACAUCCAGACGAAUCGUAGAGGAAACUUUACGAGCCUUCGGGCGGCUGGACAGGUGAUGCAUGGCUGUCGUCAGUUCGUGGCNNGAGCUGUUCCCUUAAGUGGGGUAACGAACGCAACCCCUAUUGUCUGUUAUACGUGUCAGACAAGACUGCCCAGCACAGAGAACAUGUAGCACAAAACAUGUAGCAUGUAGCAAAUAUUUUUUGUUACACGCUUCAUGUUACAUGUGUUCGUGGAUUCUGUGCUGGGAGGAAGGUGGGGAUGACGCCAAGUCAGCAUGUCCCUCUGAUGCCUCGGGCUACACACGUGAUACAAUGGGUGGUACAACGGGUCGCGCGGCGGUAACGCCAAGCCAAUCCUAAUAAAGCCAUCCUCAGUUCGGAUUGAGGUCUGCAACUCGACCUCAUGAAGUUGGAAUCGCUAGUAAUCGUGGGUCAGAAUACCACGGUGAAUACGUUCUCGAGCCU